rnacentral:rRNA from 1 species
GAUGAACGCUAGCGGCAGGCCUAAUACAUGCAAGUCGAACGGUGUCUUCGGACAUAGUGGCGCACGGGUGCGUAACACGUAUGCAACCUACCUUACAUUGGGGGAUAGCCUUUCGAAAGGGAGAUUAAUACCGCAUAAGACAGUAGCUGGGCAUCCAGCAGCUGUUAAGGAUUUAUCGAUGUAAGCUGGGCAUGCGUCCAAUUAGCUAGUUGGUGAGGUAACGGCUCACCAAGGCAAUGAUUGGUAGGGGAACUGAGAGGUCAAUCCCCCACACUGGCACUGAGAUACGGGCCAGACUCCUACGGGAGGCAGCAGUAGGGAAUAUUGGGCAAUGGACGCAAGUCUGACCCAGCCAUGCCGCGGGCAGGAUGAAGGCGUUAUGCGUUGUAAACUGCUUUUAUACAGGAAGAAACGACUCUUGCGAGAGGCAUUGACGGUACUGUAUGAAUAAGCACCGGCUAACUCCGUGCCAGCAGCCGCAGUAACAC